AUUAAAGAUCUGUUGGUUACUGCCAAGGUAUGCAUGCCACACUGAACCCUUAGGAUCAUUGUGCCAUGCUGGUCCUAAGUAUCAUAGCUGAAUGAGACUGUUGAUUCCUUUUCGCCUUUGGAAGCUUGCAUAGCACCUUCUGGUAUCAUAAAAGUUAGCUCUCAGGAAAGAGGCAUGCAGGUCAGUUCCAGCUCAAGGGUCUCUAAGCCGUGUUUCUGAAGGGCAUGAUGUCUUCAGAAAGAGACACUUAGCUUCCACUAUGGAAUGUAACAAAGGACAACAGCAAUAGAUUGUAUGUUCUGAGAUUCUUUUAACAACCCUAGCAACAACUAAAAAAGGGGCUUCUCAUGUCUGGUAUUGAGGAUUGUGCUAGGUGGUCUUUGGCUGUUGGAGUGAACACCAUCAAUCUAGACACGACCUCCUGAAACUUGACAAGUGAUAUCUAUCAGCAAAGGUCUUCCCAGGACUUGGUCAUUAUCUCAAAAUUUUCUCUCUGGAACCCUAAAGAUACUUCCUCCACAGACAGCAUGAAAAACUUUAUGGGCAAACAGUGAAAAGUGAGUGGGAAUAAAUGUUGGCAAUUAGAAGACCCUGAUCUCAUUGAGUAGCUGUUGUAAACUUCCUACAUGCCCAAUUAUACAAAAUUGAAUAGACGAUUUAUAACAGCUAUCAGCUCUGCCUGCCCAGCUCCUCUCUCCCCGAUAUCCACUACUCCUCCGUUUCCUCUUCAGAAAAGAGCAGACCUCCAAGAGAAAUAGUCAAACAGGACAAAAAGGAUACAAUAAGACAAGGCAAAAGCCCUCAUAAUGAAGCUGGAGAAGGCAACCCAAUACAAAGGCUUUAUUACUGAGCUGUAACAUCAAGAAAACAUGGAAUGUAAACACAGCUGACAAUGAGAUGAGCAAAUUCCCACUUAUUUAUAAACGGCCAUUGAAGAAACACUUAAGCAUCCUUGUAACCAAAGGUGACCCUUCCAAGAGCCCUGGUUAUAUCUCCCCAGACUGACACAAUUCAUCGGGAACCUUCUCUGAGUAUGGGCAGCCAUUCGCCCACAGGCUAUUGUUGGCUCAAAGUAACAGAGCAGUGAAGACUUCACUUACAAUUUCAGGAAGAAAAAAAAACACCCUGUGUUGCCUUCUGUUGCAGAACAAUAAUGGAAAACAGCAGAGGAUGCUACUUCAAACCAGACCCCCUUUAUAUAUGGACACUAAUGUUUUUGGUUUGCACAGUCAGUUCUGCAGUGUGACCUUACAUUAACACUGUGGUUGGGAAGGGAGGUGGUCACCCUGUUUUGUCUGUGACAGGUUGUAUUUGUUUAUAAGUCUUCUUCCAAUCUGUGUUCUCUGUCCUACUCUGAGGAAUCAUCAGAUCUUGUUCUUCAUGCUGUUUCCUAGAAUUUUCCUGUGUUGUGUGUUACAGUUAGAACUUGGAGUGAAGCAUCACUGCACAUCAUUGUAAUAAUAGCUGAGCUUUGGGAAAACAUUUUUUUUUUCAAAAUGGUGGUUUUCUCUCCUUUAUGUUUUUAUGAUGCUCCUAGGGGAAAAUAUUUGUCGAACAUCCUGUUGACUCAUUACAAAGUUCUACAGUGAUUUCCAAUGAUGCUCAAAAUAUAACUCCUAAUGUGGU